GACGAACGCUGGCGGCGUGCCUAAUACAUGCAAGUCGAACGCUUCUUUCCUCCCGAGUGCUUGCACUCAAUUGGAAAGAGGAGUGGCGGACGGGUGAGUAACACGUGGGUAACCUACCCAUCAGAGGGGGAUAACACUUGGAAACAGGUGCUAAUACCGCAUAACAGUUUAUGCCGCAUGGCAUAAGAGUGAAAGGUGCUUUCGGGUGUCGCUGAUGGAUGGACCCGCGGUGCAUUAGCUAGUUGGUGAGGUAACGGCUCACCAAGGCCACGAUGCAUAGCCGACCUGAGAGGGUGAUCGGCCACACUGGGACUGAGACACGGCCCAGACUCCUACGGGAGGCAGCAGUAGGGAAUCUUCGGCAAUGGACGAAAGUCUGACCGAGCAACGCCGCGUGAGUGAAGAAGGUUUUCGGAUCGUAAAACUCUGUUGUUAGAGAAGAACAAGGACGUUAGUAACUGAACGUCCCCUGACGGUAUCUAACCAGAAAGCCACGGCUAACUACGUGCCAGCAGCCGCGGUAAUACGUAGGUGGCAAGCGUUGUCCGGAUUUAUUGGGCGUAAAGCGAGCGCAGGCGGUUUCUUAAGUCUGAUGUGAAAGCCCCCGGCUCAACCGGGGAGGGUCAUUGGAAACUGGGAGACUUGAGUGCAGAAGAGGAGAGUGGAAUUCCAUGUGUAGCGGUGAAAUGCGUAGAUAUAUGGAGGAACACCAGUGGCGAAGGCGGCUCUCUGGUCUGUAACUGACGCUGAGGCUCGAAAGCGUGGGGAGCAAA
rnacentral:rRNA from 1 species